AUUGAUGUGGUCCCAUCAAUCCAUCAUCAUGUAAUGUGGUGUGGGCCCUGACACCUCCUCCCACCCCUCAUGCCAGCUUCCUCACUGGAACUGCAGACCUUGUUUCCAUUUGCAAGCUUGGAUCUCUGAGGAAGAAAGAAAUGCUUUAUGAGUCACCACCCUCAAGAGCUUUACACUUUGAGAUGUAAAUGAGACUGAAGAUGCAACACGAAGGGCCAAGAGUAUUAGCAAACUAGCACAAGUACUCCACCCUUGGAAGAUCUGUAAAUACAUUACUCCAAACCCAUCUGGAAGCCCUCCAAAACCACUACAGGAAAGCCACUGCGAAUUUGAAUGCCAAGGAAAAUGCUAAAUACCAUGUCUAUGACUGAUAUGAAGAAGAGUGAAUGCUUCUGAUUAAUCAGCCUCAUGAAACCUCUCUUGCUCUGCUUUAGUCCCCCCGUUCUUGAGAAAGCAGAUGUUGAGGGUGCCAAAAAGGUCAUAGAUUUUAAGGACAGGCCUCACCAAGAG